rnacentral:rRNA from 1 species
UACGUAGGGUGCGAGCGUUAAUCGGAAUUACUGGGCGUAAAGCGUGCGCAGGCGGUUUUGUAAGUCAGAUGUGAAAUCCCCGGGCUUAACCUGGGAACUGCGUUUGAAACUACAAGGCUAGAGUGUGGCAGAGGGGGGUGGAAUUCCACGUGUAGCAGUGAAAUGCGUAGAGAUGUGGAGGAACACCGGUGGCGAAGGCGGCGACCUGGGUAGAUACUGACGCUGAGGCGCGAAAGCGUGGGGAGCAAACAGG